CGGCCUGGCACACGGUUGUGUGGCGUCGACAGUUUAAAUUUUUGACUUUCGUCGAUCACUAUUCUCUCGAGUUUUCGUUAUAUACCUGGUCAAAAUUCGAUGUAGGUUCAAGAGUCUAGUAUACCAGUACUUAAAUUGACAAUUUAUACGAGUUAAAAUCUAAAAUUAUAACAAACUCAAUCGAUUAAUUGGAUAUAAUCAUCACAAAUCGAACCUAUUUUCAGCAAUUAACAGCCCCAAAACGGAAAUAAUCACUUACCCUAGAAUGUAAACAACACCCUCACAAGCUUAAUCCGCCAGAAAAUUAAUCCUUUAAUGACCUUUACCAAGAAAACCAAACAGAUUAACAACGGAAAACGCGGCAUCCAAACCCUACUUAACCAAGAAUGACAAAAGGAAACUUCAAUAAUAGAAGAAAUAAAAAAAUAAAAAAAUAAUAGAUGGUAUUUACGCAAGAAUCGAGUUUUAAACAAUUCAAUUAAACCCUCACCACCAAAUAUGAAACAUAUAGCAAGAGAGUGGGAGAGCAAGGUCGCAGAUAGGGAGCGAAUUAAAAGAAAGAAAAGAAUGAAAUGGGAGCCCAAAUGAUGAUAGAGUGAAAAAAAACAAAGAAAAAAUCAAAUUGCAUAUGGCAGUGGAGUAAGA
rnacentral:lncRNA from 1 species